GACAGGAUACAGGAUGCAGGACAGGACACAAGCACAACAGAAACAGGCAAUUUACGAUAAAUAAAUGAAAUUAAACAAAGUGAGAAAUGCAAAAUUAUGAAAAAUUAAUGAAAACAUGCAAAUCAUUUUAAAUAAUACAAAUAAAUGCAUACUAUAACUAUGUGGCGCUUAAAGAUUUAUAAACGUUGCGAACGCAACGAGCGUGUAAAUAAAAUUAAAGUGCAUAUAAUAACAGUAAUUAAGUGGAGAGCCCAACGGUCGACAAGUGCGUGCAAUUAAAAUGUAAUGCACUUUUAAUUCACACCAUCCAGCGGUUGGGUUCCCAGUUCCCAGGCAACCGCUUCCAUUUUUCGCAUCCAAUUACCAAUUGGUCACCUCAAACUCGUUUCAAUUGUAGCUAUCUUAAAACUUAAUACCUUAACUAGCUAAUUCUUUGACAACUUCGAUGGCAUUGUGUGUGUUUAGCUGAAUUCUUGAGCACGGCCAAUAGAAGUUAGUUCUAAGCUGAUAAUUUUCCGUCAUUUCACCUUAAAUUAAUAACAAGACGCCCUUUAAUUGCACGUAAUAAAAUAGUAAAACUGACGACUGAUAGAAACUGCAGCCAGCGCCGCAAAGUACGCAAUGCCAAAUUAAACAUGCACGCUUACACGGGCACGUAGCCCCAAGCGAGUUGGGUGGAAAAUCGGGUGAAAAGUUAUGUCGCAUACGCCGUGUUGCACACGCAAUGGCACCUGAAGUGAGGAAAACAGGUAGCACAGGCAGACAGUUGUCAGCUCGGCUCAGCUCAGUUCAGUUAGCUGGGUGCAUUUAACGUUUAAGUGUUUGUCACUCUCACUUGUGCGUGACGUCACGUGUAAGGUGGAUAUCUACCCAUCGCAGUGUUUGUUAAUUACUGCCAACAAUUGCCAGCGACAACGACAACGAGGACGAGCCCACACACAGGGAGAAAUUGAAGGAGGAAAAGCAAUAUCCUUUGUUUAUCAAAAAAAAAAUACAUUCAAGAAAAGAAUUGUAAGGUGAACUUGUGGGUAUAUCAUUAAGUAUUUCUAUGAAUAAAUAACGCUUUCUAUAAGAUAUUAUUCUAAAAUGUUAAGUAUUAGGGACAAGUUUAAUUGGAAAUAGUUUUUUCCUGUGCAUUCAGAGCACGGCUAAUCAUUGAAACUAACACACAGAGCCUUAGUAGUUGCAAGUGGUUGAUUAUGUUGUUGAUAAUGAGAGCCAAGUGGCAGACAGUGAGGCAACAACAAACAGUGGAGCAACGGCCCAAAGUGGGCACUUUUCCGCUUUUCCACUUUUCCAUUUUCCCCCCCAGGUGCUGACACACAGAUACACCAUGCAUUUAAAUGAGUUUUCCAGCGGAGUUGCAGUGCAUUUAUGUAAUUGCAAUUGCAAUUGGCAUUUUAACACGCAGCGCAGCAAACUGUAAUUAGCUUGGCUUCAAAAACAUAUUGCAAAUGGCCUAAAAUUCAACGAUAUUGCCAACAGUUGACGGUGGUUUCGAUUGAAAACGGUGGUCCAUUGAAAAACAAUUCGGAUGUUUCGAUAGCCCCAAUGCAAUCCAAUAAAAUGCUAUAAAACAAUUAGCCAGCGAUUUGCAAGCGAAAUCUCUAUAGUUCUCUCUAUUUCGUGACCACUUGGACAAAACUAACAAUCAACAAAAACAAUUGAAAUGGCCCAAACAAAAACUGCAAACUUAUUCCAGCGGCUAACUAAGCGGCUUAUGGGAGGGGUUUGCCAGUGGAGGUGGACGGAUUUAGUCCGAGGAGGGCUUACUCCUCUCUUUCCAAAUGAUUCCCUCAGCCAGGAAAAACGAAAAGGAAUUAGCAUAGAGUUAUGGCUUUUUAAUUAAAAUAAAAAUAACACGCUACCGUUUUUAAUUGCUGGGGAAUGUGGGACACCCCCAAUCCUUUUUUAACCACACCUCUGCAGGUUGCCCAAAGCGAACGCAGUUGCAUGCAUAACAAAAUAUUACGCAUACGCCGCGUGCGACGCGCGAAACAGCGAUGACAAAGUUUCAUCAUCGACGGCAGCGGGAAAAUAAUUACGAGCGGAAAAAAGUCCGGCAAUGGGCAUCAAACUUUAAGGACAUUUAAAAAUGUAUAGUGUAAGCUAAAUAAUAAAAUUUAAAUAAUCUAUCACUCUGGUUUACAUUUUGAAAGACUACUUCUCAAUUUCUUUAACAAAAGAGCUCUCUCCACGAAACUACUCCUUUUGCCCAUUGUACUUGCGGCGAAAAUAAAAUGCGAAAGACAAAUGCAAUUAUGCGACGCUUGGAAUUCUCCGUUUGUGCCGAGUAAACAAAGGCGGAAAAGCCGGAAAACGCAGAAAGGGAAGGGUGUGCGCUCCAACACUUUUCCUUUCCUAUUUAUUGGAGCACAAGUUGAUUAGGAAAAAGCAACAGACAUAUGGCAAGUGCCAUUAAAAGGCGUUUGCACAGAGAGCCGCAAACAAGGUCAGUCUGCUCAUUGUUUCGUCAUACAUUUAUAAUUAAUUUAAAUAACAACGGCCAGCGGGAAACCGCAAUGCAAAAGCCUUGCCCCACAAACCGAGAGCGGAUUAAACUCACUCAAGAGCGGGCCGUCGCCUCGUUCGUUUUCCCUGUGGAGAAUCGCUCUCCGAGUGAGUUUUCCAUGUGCUGCUCCUGGCUGUGGCCCUGGCCCACAAUGACGUCAUGUGUCUGACUUGGUUAGCCCUCCAUUGUUGUGAUAAAUUUAACAGAAUUUAUGUUUAGUCAUUCGUGAGUUUUACAACGAGCAUUUUCGUUUAUUAAUAGCAGUUGGCUCGAUUUGGGAGGCGUUGGACUAGACUCCAUCCUGCAUUCGUCCAGUUUGCCAGCACUUUUCAAAGACACUUGUCUUUGGCGGAGUGGAGAACACUGAGAAAGUUGUUGGCCUGGCUGAACCCGCACUCGGCCAAAACCAAGUCAAGGUGAGCUAUGACGAGGAUAAUGUGACGAUGUGCGUGUUCAAGGGGAGAAAUACAUCCCAAAUUGGCUAGUGUUUGCAGUGGGUGCGGUUAUCAAAUUGGCUUUUGUUUAAGCCGUAUCAUAGUGGCGAUAAGAUACUUUUAGGACAAACGAAUAUAAUGGUAUUCUUUUAAAGAGAAUGGUUAUAUUUCUGUACACUUAUUGCGCAUAUGCAUGGAAAAACCUCUGCGGCUGACUUUUCAAUUGUUUGGUGCCAUUAUCGUUUCGGAUUUAUCUGCAUAAAUUGGGCCAACACAUCAGAGGUUAACCCGUUUAGCUCUCAAUCAUAUACACAAUAUCAAUUUGAAUGCACAGAGGCGGGCGGGACAAAGCGAAUCGCAUUCGCCAGGGCAACUAUGAAAAUUGAAAAACCCCAUUUUAUCAUGGCGAACACGUACGGGAAGAGCACAAAUUCCACAGCAGCUACAGAACUCCGGCAGAAACAACAAUCAGGCGGGAACAAUAUUUACUGCGUGCGCACCAAAGUAUGCAGCAAGAAAAAUCACAAACGCAGGAUGAUAACAGGAUGACAAAGGACAUCAGGGGGAGUGGAGUGGAGUGGAAGGAGCCGGAGCAGUGAGCAGCGAGCACGAUGACAAUGUUGAAAAUGACAACUUGGCAACAAUUAUAUUCCAGGACGAGUGUGGGCGGCUGUGUGUUGGCCCGCAUAUGAACAAGAAAAUGGAAACAACAAUGUCAACAGUAUCAACAUGGCGUAUGAGCAACGUUCAAUUGGAAACCCAUUCGACUCAAGUGGCAACAAUGCGAUAAACUGUUCCAGCAUCCAGCAGCAACGUUUUGCAUUUGCCCAUUCAUUGGUAGAUUGUGCAGGAAAUUGAGGGCGCGGUGUGCCAGAUGCCAACAACUUAAGUGCUCUGCAUACACAAAUAUGAAUAUAAAAACUGUUUUAAAUAUAAUUUGGGCACAACUCGCCCGCCCUCUCAACGCUGGGAGGGAAAAAAACUCCCGUUUGGAGGAUAAAAAUUCCAUAACUUGCUACUAAAAUGCAAACUUUUGCAGAAACUUUACCCGAGCAAAGUGAAUGCAUUCCCACUUGCAGGCAAUCAACGUGGCAAAUAAAAACACCCGGGCUCUUCACCUAUUUAUCUUUAUCACCCCGGCUUUACCCACCGAAUUAGCAGGAACGUCACACAUCGCACGCAACGGCUAUAAAUUGCAGUAUUUGCCUCAAACUGAAACUUAUGCGAGCAACUGGGUAAACAGUCACCAGGACUCCGGGAACUCAGGAUCCAGGGACUGCAAGACAGCAGGACAACAGUCAGCAGGACAAAACAAAGUGCUAAAGGUGCGUCCCACCACCCAUAAAGUCGCCUCUGAAGAGCUGCUUUCAUAUCGGAUGGGGGGCAGCAUUAGUGGACCGACGUUGAAGGAAUCGCUGGAGGCGACUAAUGGAGGUACAGCAACAAUCGCAGUCACAAGUCGCUGGGAAAAGACCCUCGGGACUUUCACAAUGAUUUCCAAGCCUUUGAAUGCCGGACUUUUGAGAGAAAUUUCUCUUGUUAAUAGGGUAAACGAGUUAUUUUGAAUUAAGUAGUUUUAUAAUCACGAAUUUACUUUUCAUUGAAUAAGUUUCAACUAUAAUUUAUCUCAACUCUCAUUUGUAAUUAUUUUGAUUUGUAUAAAAUAUUAUUGUAAUCACUUAAACCCCCUCAGAUAGUCACCACUUCCCUGGGCUUCCCUUCUAAGCGUAGAGUAUCUCAAGAACUAUUGAAAUAAAUACCAACAAAUGGGCCAAAGCGUCAUUCGUGCUCCAUUUCCAAGUUGCCUUCGAAACUUUUGCGUUGCACUUGCUGCACACUUCCUCUCGCCGCCCAGUGCCACCCACUUUGUUGCCAUUUUGGUUGCAUUUGAGCGGGUGGCGCAGGGGGUGGAAAUAAAAACACUAAAAAUAUAAAAAACAAAAGUGGGCAGGACAGGGGCGUGCGAUAAGCCAAGCACACAAAUAAGUUUACAACGCCCCAGCAAAGCGGGGGCAACAAUAAUAAAAGCGAAAGAAAUACUAGCACUAAAAACGCGAAACCAAAAACUUUUUUUAAAUGCAGUCAAAAGCAAAAGUUCAAGCUAACCAGGAGAAAAAAGGCAGAAACUAACCGAAAUGAAAAUAGAAGGCAAAGUUAAAACCGCCGAAUACAAAAAAAUUAUUGAGAAAGCGUGAAAAGAGGAAAGUCGCCAGCGAACGGGGAGCGGAAAAAAUGUUGAGAGCAAAGGGCCAAGUUAACUAGAAAAUGGCCAACAGCUAGAGUCAUCCAAAAACGGCGGCAAGAGAAGUAGCAGCCGCUAAGAAAGUUAAUCCUGCAAUCUGUUUCAGUUCUACAUGCCGCUGCAACAAGGACACUUCGAGAAAAAGCAAAAAGCUUUAUUAAAAUCAUCUACAAAAUAGUUAAGGGUUUUAAGAGUCAGCAAGGAAAUGAAGGCAUUUGCAUUUCAGUGUUUUCAGUGUUUUCAGGACUCCUAUCGUUUUGAAUUUCCUACUAUUCAAACUAUGCUGAACUAUAGGAUGAUUGUUUGGAGUGCAGUUGAAAGUACUCCACAAUUACACAGGCCAAUGCCGAAAAUGGCCCACAAUUGACCAGCAAAUUGCCCGAAAAUUUGGCCCACUUGCCUCCCAGAAAAAGGAUUCAAGAGGAGCAGGAGGAGGUGGAGGCGGAGAACAGGCCUUGUGUCAAGGACAAACGUUUUGGGGACAGCGAGCUCAGCUGGGCAGGCUGCCAAAAAAAAAAAAAGAGAAGGAAAAGGGAGG
rnacentral:sRNA from 1 species